CCUACGGUGUGCAGCAGUGGGGAAUAUUGGACAAUGGGCGAAAGCCUGAUCCAGCCAUGCCGCGUGUGUGAAGAAGGCCUUCGGGUUGUAAAGCACUUUCAGUGGGGAAGAAAGCCUUGGGGCUAAUACCCUCGAGGAAGGACAUCACCCACAGAAGAAGCACCGGCUAACUCCGUGCCAGCAGCCGCGGUAAUACGGAGGGUGCGAGCGUUAAUCGGAAUUACUGGGCGUAAAGCGCGCGUAGGCGGUCUGAUAAGCCGGUUGUGAAAGCCCCGGGCUCAACCUGGGAACGGCAUCCGGAACUGUCAGGCUAGAGUGCAGGAGAGGAAGGUAGAAUUCCCGGUGUAGCGGUGAAAUGCGUAGAGAUCGGGAGGAAUACCAGUGGCGAAGGCGGCCUUCUGGACUGACACUGACGCUGAGGUGCGAAAGCGUGGGUAGCAAACAGGAUUAGAUACCCCUGUAGU
rnacentral:rRNA from 1 species